rnacentral:rRNA from 1 species
UACAGAGGGUGCAAGCGUUGUUCGGAAUCAUUGGGCGUAAAGCGCACGUAGGCGGCCUGCUAAGUCGGAUGUGAAAGCCCAGGGCUCAACCCUGGAAGUGCAUUCGAAACUGGUGGGCUUGAAUGUCGGAGAGGGUGGUGGAAUUCCGAGUGUAGAGGUGAAAUUCGUAGAUAUUCGGAGGAACACCAGUGGCGAAGGCGACCACCUGGACGAACAUUGACGCUGAGGUGCGAAAGCGUGGGGAGCAAACAGG